rnacentral:rRNA from 1 species
UACGUAGGCAGCGAGCGUUGUUCGGAGUUACUGGGCGUAAAGAGUGCGUAGGCGGUUUUCUAAGUUUGGUGUGAAAUCUCCCGGCUUAACUGGGAGGGUGCGCCGAAAACUGGAAGGCUUGAGUAUGGGAGAGGUAAGCGGAAUUCCUGGUGUAGCGGUGAAAUGCGCAGAUAUUGGGAGGAACACCAGUGGCGAAGGCGGCUACCUGGACCGGUUCUGACGCUGAGGCGCGAAAGCGUGGGUAGCAAACAGG